GUGAGUCAUCGAAUCUUUGAACGCAUAUUGCGCCCUUUGGUAUUCCGAAGGGCAUGCCUGUUCGAGCGUCAUUAUCAACCAUCAAGCAUGGCUUGUCGUUGGACCUCUAUUGCGAUCGAAAUAUGUCGCAGGUCCGAAAGAUAAUGACGGUGUCGUGUUUGACCCUAGAUGCAACGAGCUUUUUAUAGCAUGCAUUGAAGUGGUCGGGCGACCCAGUCUUUAACCAUUAUAUUCUAAGGUUGACCUCGGAUCAGGUAGGAAUACCCGCUGAACUUAAGCAUAUCAAUAAGCGGAGGA
rnacentral:misc_RNA from 1 species